GCAUAUCAAUAAGCGGAGGAAAAGAAACCAACCGGGAUUGCCUUAGUAACGGCGAGUGAAGCGGCAAAAGCUCAAAUUUGAAAUCUGGUACCUUCGGUGCCCGAGUUGUAAUUUGGAGAGGGCAACUUUGGGGCCGUUCCUUGUCUAUGUUCCUUGGAACAGGACGUCAUAGAGGGUGAGAAUCCCGUGUGGCGAGGAGUGCGGUUCUUUGUAAAGUGCCUUCGAAGAGUCGAGUUGUUUGGGAAUGCAGCUCUAAGUGGGUGGUAAAUUCCAUCUAAAGCUAAAUAUUGGCGAGAGACCGAUAGCGAACAAGUACAGUGAUGGAAAGAUGAAAAGAACUUUGAAAAGAGAGUGAAAAAGUACGUGAAAUUGUUGAAAGGGAAGGGCAUUUGAUCAGACAUGGUGUUUUGUGCCCUCUGCUCCUUGUGGGUAGGGGGAUCUCGCAUUUCACUGGGCCAGCAUCAGUUUUGGUGGCAGGAUAAAUCCAUAGGAAUGUAGCUUGCCUCGGUAAGUAUUAUAGCCUGUGGGAAUACUGCCAGCUGGGACUGAGGACUGCGACGUAAGUCAAGGAUGCUGGCAUAAUGGUUAUAUGCCGCCCGUCUUGAAACACGGACC
rnacentral:rRNA from 1 species